AAAAAACCCUUUACCCCGCCAAUAGGUGGCUUUAAAAAAUUAAAUCGGUGUUCGGAUUUUUGUGCAGGAUACUGUACGUACGGAGAGGUCCGUACCAGAAAACGGCACCAUUUCCAGGGUUUUCAUUGGCUCAGUGGGAUGGUCACGUGACCAUCCUUUCAAGCAACGCAGUGGUGGUUAGGCCCCUACCCCCGAAAUCUCAGCAGCCGCCGUCGCAUUUGAAGUUGUUGUGAUUUUCGUUUUUAAUGGUGGCCUGCUGUCAUUUAAAAUGAAUAAAUAUAUUACUUUUAGAAAAGGGCCGACCUCUCGUGAAGAGAACGAUGGAAUUUAUAGAUUCGGCUGGGAAACUAGUCGAUAAAGCUUUUUUGCUUUUUUAGAUAAACUGACACGAGAGUUUGGUACCUUCUCAAACAGGCAUAAUUUCAAUCUAAUUAAUUGAACUGAGAUUUUUUAACCAGAUUUGUUUACUAACAGGGAGCCCUCACUUUUUGCCGUAGCAAAACUGUUGGCAACUGGUCUUGUAAAUCUGAACAGGGUAGAAGUUCUUAAUGAUUUCUUUUUAAUAAUGAAAUAUAAAUUUUCCUUCUUAGUUAUUUACUUUACGCGUCAGGUAAAAGAAAACCAAUAGAUUACCAAUAAUUACAAAUUCCCAAACUAACAUUCGGAUGAACCUACAUAUAGAACUUGGUAUCCAAAAAAGGAAACGAUAAGAGAUACCGUGUUUUCUCAGAAUCAUCUCCAACUAUAUCCAAGUAUUCCUCGCAUGAAGCCCAUCUCACAGGGUCAUAGAAUAAUACAAAAGGCCAACAUGUUACAUGAGAAUUUGGCUCCAAAACGUUUGACCGCAACUGGCCGAAAUCGCACUUUCCUUGGUUGCUAUUGUAACCGUUAUUAUAUCGACGGGUGUAUAUUUUCGGUUUUGUCUUGUCAUCUCAUCGCCAGCGUUGAUAUCAUUGGAGGACGGAUAGGUUUAUUGUCCAGGAUUUGUUCAAGAUCCAUCAUAACGGCAGCCAACAAUCCCUUUUUGUUUUGUUUCUGGAGACAAAUUGCACUCUACAUUCAUAUCUGUAAAGGAACAUGGUGCACAUUAGACUACAAUUGUAUGAAUGUUAAUAAAUGCCAGACAUUACCAAUCAUUAAUUCUGUUGAUCCAAUUUUAAAGUAAUGCAUCAACUGAUCAGCUGCAUAAACAAAUAAAGCUCCUAAGAAAAAACCAGGAGCAACAGGAGCAAAGGCAUAUUCUCCUGAUUCUCCAUACAUUCCUGAGCUUUCUGCCAUUUCAAUGGCAGGAGCUAGAAGAGACCAGUAUGAGGCCGCAAGCAUUACACCUGCAGCAAAACCAAGGCUGCUGUCUAAAAAUUUCCUCUACACAGAAGAUUCAAAAAGUAUGUAUGAUGGAUGUUUCAGUGCUUUAGAUGUAUAUUAUUACCUGGGUUCCACUCAUGAGAAACACCAGAGCCGAGCCGGCUGCUGUUAGACCCCAUGUAAACAAAGUGCCAAAGAUUGCUUGGAUUUCGGGACUGUAGCCGGCAAUCAAGUUAGCGGAUAAAAAAGAAAUUCAGGAUCAUACGUCAAUCAUUUAAACUAGUUCACAGGAGCAGAAAAUUCUGCUCAGGAAAGGCAAUUCAACUAUCGCUAUCAGUUGAAGUAAACCAUUACCUUUAUCGUCUACAAGCGUCAACAAGAUUAGAAUUUUCCCUCUGACUCUAGUGGAUAUUAUGGCUACUAGAUGGCUUUUCGAAUGAAACUUCGCUUGUUACGGUAGCAACCGGCGUGCAAGCAAAGAGAAGCCCGGCUUUUGCAUGGAGAAAAUCAGUAACUUCAUGUUGUAUUGUUCGUACUAGCGUGCCAGUAGCUACGGUAUUGCUGGCACGCCAGCAGGUGAUUGAUUUUAGGCAGUCUUUGAUCAAAACUGCCAUCUGGUGUUUUGCUGUUUAAACCUUUUCGCCUGAUUUUUAUCACUUUAUAGUAAUCUGUUAAAAAUUACAAUCGAUAAAUUAUAGUCAAGGGUGAAUUGUAACGAUUCAGUCACGAUCAACUUUUGCCGAAAUGGGCUACCAAUAUUACCAAUCUUACCUGGUAUCCUAUACGUGAUACGUGUGCCUCAUACCAGUAGCUCUUGAAUUCACCACACGAAAAAGCUUGUCCAACAACCUGUAGAUCCGUUUACUCAGAAUUAAAUUUUUUUGCUAGUGUGAUGACAGUUCAUUAAAUUUUUGUAUCAACUUG
rnacentral:lncRNA from 1 species